rnacentral:rRNA from 1 species
GAUGAACGCUGGCGGCGUGCCUAAUACAUGCAAGUCGAGCGAACAGACGAGGAGCUUGCUCCUCUGACGUUAGCGGCGGACGGGUGAGUAACACGUGGAUAACCUACCUAUAAGACUGGGAUAACUUCGGGAAACCGGAGCUAAUACCGGAUAACAUGUUGAACCGCAUGGUUCAACAGUGAAAGACGGUCUUGCUGUCACUUAUAGAUGGAUCCGCGCCGCAUUAGCUAGUUGGUAAGGUAACGGCUUACCAAGGCAACGAUGCGUAGCCGACCUGAGAGGGUGAUCGGCCACACGGGAACUGAGACACGGUCCAGACUCCUACGGGAGGCAGCAGUAGGGAAUCUUACGCAAUGGGCGAAAGCGUGACGGAGCAACGCCGCGUGAGUGAAGAAGGUGUUCGGAUCGUAAAACUCUGUUAUUAGGGAAGAACAAAUGUGUAAGUAACUAUGCACGUCUUGACGGUACCUAAUCAGAAAGCCACGGCUAACUACGUG